ACAUCACCCCUGUAGUUUCGCACUUUUUCACUUUAGUACUCUUUGAUUUAAAUUGUAUCAGGUAGUAUCCUGUGGUUUCAUUUUUAUCUUUUCGUCAACUCUUUGUUAAUAUUUUGUUAAAUUAUAUACAAAAAAAAAUUUUUAGAUAUGCCCAUCUAUGUUUAUCGAAUAUUCACUUUAGUAUCCUUUAAUUUUAACUUUGUCGCUGAUUUAACAAAAAAAUUUGUGAAAUUGAUAAUAAAAAGAGAAAAAUGAAACCACAGAAUACCAAAUUGAUAUACUUUAAACCACAGGUUGGUAAAGUGAGAAAUUGCGAAGCCACAAUGAUGGUAUUUGAAGUUUUUACUUUUUUUUCUGAGCCCUUUUACUUUUUAUAAUUUUU
rnacentral:lncRNA from 1 species